AAGCACAGCCCUGGGCUGUCUGCACCAUGGCCUGGGCUCCUCUCCUGCUCACACUCCUGGCUCACAUCACAGGGGCUGAAUCUCAGGCUGUGGUGACUCAGGAAUCUUCACUAUCCAUCUCUCCUGGAGGGACAGUCACACUCACCUGUGGCUCCAGCACUGGGGCUGUCACAACCAGUAACUAUGCUCACUGGUUGCAACAGAAAUCCUGUGAAACACCACAAGGCCUAAUAUCUAAUACCAACAUCCGGUACAGUGGUGUCCCUGCCCAAUUCUCAGGCUCCUUGCUUGGAGACAAGGCUGCCCUCACCAUCAAAGGGGCCCAGUCUGAAGACGAAGCCACCUAUUACUGUACCCUGUGGUACAGCAACCAUUUCCACAGUGACACGUGUAACCCCCAGCUGCUACUCUAUACUGUGAGCCAGGAUGAGAAGGGUGAAGGGCCAGUGUACCCCACCAACAACUGGGAUCCAACAUAG